CCUACGGGAGGCAGCAGUCGAGAAUCAUUCACAAUGGGGGAAACCCUGAUGGUGCGACGCCGCGUGGGGGAAUGAAGGUCUUCGGAUUGUAAACCCCUGUCAUGUGGGAGCAAAUUAAAAAGAUAGUACCACAAGAGGAAGAGACGGCUAACUCUGUGCCAGCAGACGCGGUAAUACAGAGGUCUCAAGCGUUGUUCGGAAUCACUGGGCGUAAAGCGUGCGUAGGCUGUUUCGUCAGUCGUGUGUGAAAGGUGCGGGCUCAACCCGCGGACGGCACAUGAUACUGGGAGACUAGAGUAAUGGAGGGGGAACCGGAAUUCUCGGUGUAGCAGUGAAAUGCGUAGAUAUCGAGAAGAACACUCGUGGCGAAGGCAGGUUCCUGGACAUUAACUGACGCUGAGGCACGAAGGCCAGGGGAGCGAAAGGGAUUAGAUACCCUGGUAGUC
rnacentral:rRNA from 1 species